rnacentral:rRNA from 1 species
CACACCGCCCGUCACACCAUGGGAGUCAGUUGCUCCAGAAACGGCUGCGCUAACCCGCAAGGGAGGCAGGUCUUUAAGGAGUGACUGGUAACUGGGGUG